rnacentral:rRNA from 1 species
CGUGUGUUAGUGGAACGGUCUGGAAAGUCCGGCGGUACAGGGUGAUAGCCCCGUACACUAAAAUGCACACGUUGUGAACUCGAAGAGUAGGGCGGGACACGUGGUAUCCUGUCUGAAUAUGGGGGGACCAUCCUCCAAGGCUAAAUACUCCUGACUGACCGAUAGUGAACCAGUACCGUGAGGGAAAGGCGAAAAGAACCCCGGCGAGGGGAGUGAAAAAGAACCUGAAACCGUGUACGUACAAGCAGUGGGAGCCUACUUGUUAGGUGACUGCGUACCUUUUGUAUAAUGGGUCAGCGACUUAUAUUCUGUAGCAAGGUUAACCGUAUAGGGGAGCCGCAGGGAAACCGAGUCUUAACUGGGCGUUAAGUUGCAGGGUAUAGACCCGAAACCCGGUGAUCUAGCCAUGGGCAGGUUGAAGGUUGGGUAACACUAACUGGAGGACCGAACCGACUAAUGUUGAAAAAUUAGCGGAUGACUUGUGGCUGGGGGUGAAAGGCCAAUCAAACCGGGAGAUAGCUGGUUCUCCCCGAAAGCUAUUUAGGUAGCGCCUCGU